UCUUCUUCUCCUUUGCGUGCUGCCAAACCCCUCCCCCCCAAUUUCUUCUUCUCCCAACUGUGCGAGGACCCAUGGUCAGCCCAGCCGCCGACACCAUUCAGCCCAGCAUCGAUGCUCGGGUUCACGCUAGUCGUUGAGCGUCCCUCGUUGAUGCCCAGUCAUAGCCGCUAGCCUCUAACACCGACUCCAGCGUCCGCCCACCAGAUCCAAUCGACAUCUCCAGCUUCUGUUCGCGCAAGCCUCUUCCAGCUGUCGUUCACUAUCGGUCCCCGUGCGUUGUCAGCGACAGCCUCCUUUUCUCGUCGAAGUUCUUCGAAUUUUAUCGUUUCAGGUAAGAUUUUGGACGUUUCAAGUCUGUUCUUGUUUGACUCCUUAGUGCCCAAUAAAUUUCUGGUAUGAUUUGAGUUACCCAUAAUGUUUUGAAGCUUUGAUCAAAGUUUCGAGGCGUUUUUCAACACUAUCCAGCAGCUUCGACGGUGAGCUUUAAGCGUUUUCGACAUACUUUGUGGAUAAGGUGUUGAAGAUUUAGAUGUGGGUUCGUAUAGUCUUGAAUACCCACGAAGUUUUAACUUUGGUUUUGGUUGCAUAAUGACUUAGGAGGUUGAUCUUGGCAAUUCUUGAUACUUCCAGCUUGGGCACUAUUAACUUAAGGUUGGAAGUGGGUUUGGAAUAAACCUCGCAUUGGGGAUUUAAUUCAAAGGCCAAGCUAGGCUAAGAGGAAAAUUACUUCGCUUCUUUCCGGCAUAAAAAUUGAGGUAAAGGUAAAGAUAGACCGAUGAAUGACAAGAGGGAUCCAUGACCUGACAGUUUGGACAUGUUAUUAAAGGAUCUCUCAAUGAAGAGUUCCAUGAGCGCGUUCGGAUCGCUCCAAUUUCAUCGUGACCGAAAUACACCAUAUACAUUCAAACGCACAGUUAUGCAAACAAACAGUAAUUAACGACAUGCUUUGAACAAAAAAUAACAAGGGACAGGGUUCUCAUACCAGUUGAAGACGCUCUUCGAGCUAUGGAACUCAAUGCAGCGGAAGACCUCUACCCGAUCAACAAACACCCAGCAGAUGCGUCGGCUACAGCAGCACGAACAACUGCAAACAAACGAACGCAGUGGGGACGACACCACCAGAAAAGAGCCCUAGUAUUCUCAGAGUGAGAAUCCAAAGCGUGGUCUUUAGUGAGUUUGGUAGAGGUAGGAGGAAGAACUGAUCGUAUAGACGAUAAACAAGUGGGAGAGUAUAGGAAGCUAUCGCAUAGCUAGAUGCUUACCGCUUAGAAGAAACUACACAAUUGUGUAGGUUUUACUGAACGAUCGUUUAGGAAAAAGUAGACGAUCGUUUAGCAAACACGACACAAUAUACGAUCGUUUAGGAACUAGCGUGCGAACGUUUAGGCGUGGGGUAUACAAUCGUUUAAGCACUAAGUGACUAUCAUAUAGGCUCUUGACUUAAGCGAUCGUUUACGUUUCCACACCAAUAAAAAACCUUACGAACUUUUC